CAGGGAUACGUUGUCUAGGUCUGGGACCUGGUGGAGAAAUCAGGGAUUUCCAGCCAACCUAAACGACAGUCGUGGGUUAGAUUAAAAACGUGUCAGGGAUACGUUGUCUAGGUCUGGGACCUGGUGGGGAAUCGGGGAUUUCCAACCAACCUAAACGCUGAGAUCUGGGAUUUUCGUGGAGAGACAGUAAAUGGUGGAUUCGAUAGGAUUCACUAUAAACAAGAUAAGAACCUUUUAUUGAAUUAAAGUUAAAAUUAGAGGGGACGUCCCAGGCUCUCCUGAAACCGGGUGACGAAAUCCUGAUAAAGGUCAUCAAAAGAAAGUCCUGGGCGACACCCAAGUGGGAAGGACCGUUCCGAGUACUCAUUACCACCCCAACUGCGGUAAAAAUCGCAGAACGAAGCACCUGGAUACAUCAGUCUCAGUGCAAGAAGUUGACACCAGACGCUGCCCUUGAGUAAGUGGGAAGACGGACGGUAUCAAAACCCUUGUCCGCCGAAGAAACCAACAGACACUCACUCACCAGCCACA